rnacentral:rRNA from 1 species
AGCGAACGCUGGCGGCAGGCCUAACACACGCAAGUCGAACGGACCCUUCGGGGUUAGUGGCGGACGGGUGAGUAACACGUGGGAACGUGCCUUUAGGUUCGGAAUAGCUCCUGGAAACGGGUGGUAAUGCCGAAUGUGCCCUUCGGGGGAAAGAUUUAUCGCCUUUAGAGCGGCCCGCGUCUGAUUAGCUAGUUGGUGAGGUAAUGGCUCACCAAGGCGACGAUCAGUAGCUGGUCUGAGAGGAUGACCAGCCACAUUGGGACUGAGACACGGCCCAAACUCCUACGGGAGGCAGCAGUGGGGAAUCUUGCGCAAUGGGCGAAAGCCUGACGCAGCCAUGCCGCGUGGAUGAUGAAGGUCUUAGGAUUGUAAAAUCCUUCCACCGGUGAAGAUAAUGACUGUAGCCGGAGAAGAAGCCCCGGCUAACUUCGUGCCAGCCGCCGCCGUAA